rnacentral:rRNA from 1 species
GAUGAACGCUGGCGGCGUGCCUAAUACAUGCAAGUCGAGCGAACGGACGAGAAGCUUGCUUCUCUGAUGUUAGCGGCGGACGGGUGAGUAACACGUGGAUAGCCUACCUAUAAGACUGGGAUAACUUCGGGAAACCGGAGCUAAUACCGGAUAAUAUUUUGAACCGCAUGGUUCAAAAGUGAAAGACGGUCUUGCUGUCACUUAUAGAUGGAUCCGCGCUGCAUUAGCUAGUUGGUAAGGUAACGGCUUACCAAGGCAACGAUGCAUAGCCGACCUGAGAGGGUGAUCGGCCACACUGGAACUGAGACACGGUCCAGACUCCUACGGGAGGCAGCAGUAGGGAAUCUUCCGCAAUGGGCGAAAGCCUGACGGAGCAACGCCGCGUGAGUGAUGAAGGUCUUCGGAUCGUAAAACUCUGUUAUUAGGGAAGAACAUAUGUGUAAGUAACUGUGCACACCUUGACGGUACCUAAUCAGAAAGCCACGGCUAACUACGUG